AACACUGGGAGCAACUCCGAAUACCCCCCAGCUACGAUUUGUAAACCUGACUUUGUGUUUCAAUAUGGCCGCUCCUCGCAUCAACAGUGAACCGUUACCUCGGGUGUGACGUCAAACCCAGUUUCCUAGGUAACUGGAACGCAUAGUGAGCUAGAUGACGUCUUAUCAGCUGUUUAACUCAAGUAUCCGGAUCCAAACCGUCUCCUAAAGGAAGUCCUCUGAGAAAUGCAGGUCACAGAGGUCUGGAGGUCGCAGCGGCAGGACUGGAUACAAUUUGCUGUGACAUGCUGAAGGCUGCAGACAUUGAGAAUGUCAUGGUUGACGGGUUACUUCAGCGUCACAUGGAGAACAAGGCCUGUUUAGUGGCAGGGAACCUUUGAGGUAGUCUGCACGUCGUUUUUGUUCUCAGCCUUCAUGUGAAGACUUUUUCCAGGAUUUUAGAGAGGAGGCUCUGACUGAUUGUCAAAACCCCGAUUAAAGAGGAGCUGUGUGGCUCCUGUCUGGGUUGCUGCUA